CGGCGAGUGAAGCGGCAAGAGCUCAAAUUUGAAAGCUGGCCCCUUCGGGGUCCGCAUUGUAAUUUGCAGAGGAUGCUUCGGGAGCGGCCCCCAUCUAAGUGCCCUGGAACGGGCCGUCAUAGAGGGUGAGAAUCCCGUCUGGGAUGGGGUGCCCGCGCCCGUGUGAAGCUCCUUCGACGAGUCGAGUUGUUUGGGAAUGCAGCUCUAAAUGGGUGGUAAAUUUCAUCUAAAGCUAAAUACUGGCCGGAGACCGAUAGCGCACAAGUAGAGUGAUCGAAAGAUGAAAAGCACUUUGAAAAGAGAGUUAAACAGCACGUGAAAUUGUUGAAAGGGAAGCGCUUGCGACCAGACUCGCUCGCGGGGUUCAGCCGGCCUUCGGGCCGGUGUACUUCCCCGCGGGCGGGCCAGCGUCGGUUUGGGCGGCCGGUCAAAGGCCCUCGGAAUGUAACGCCCCCCGGGGCGUCUUAUAGCCGAGGGUGCCAUGCGGCCAGCCCGGACCGAGGAACGCGCUUCGGCUCGGACGCUGGCAUAAUGGUCGUAAGCGACCCGUCUUGAAACACGGACCAAGGAGUCUAACAUCUACGCGAGUGUUCGGGUGUCAAACCCGUGCGCGCAGUGAAAGCGAACGGAGGUGGGAACCCCUCGGGGUGCACCAUCGACCGAUCCUGAUGUCUUCGGAUGGAUUUGAGUAAGAGCGUAG
rnacentral:rRNA from 1 species